rnacentral:tRNA from 1 species
GGGCGUUUAGCUCAGGGGUAGAGUGCUUCCUUGACGUGGAAGAUGUCAGAGGUUCAAAUCCUCUAACGCCCA